AUUGAACGCUGGCGGCAGGCCUAACACAUGCAAGUCGAACGAGUGGCGGACGGGUGAGCAAUUGCUGGGCAACUGCCUGAUGGAGGGGGAUAACUACUGGAAACGGUGGCUAAUACCGCAUACCAUCGGAUGUGCCCAGAUGGGAUUAGCUAGUCGGUGGGGUAAAGGCUCACCGAGGGGUCGAUGCCUAGCUGGGCUGAGAGGAUGACCGGCCACACUGGAACUGAGACACGGUCCAGACGCCUACGGGAGGCAGCAGUGGGGAAUAUUGGACAAUGGACGCAAGCCUGAUGCAGCCAUGCCGCGUGUAUGAAGAAGGCCUUCGGGUUGUAAAGUACUUUCGGCGGGGAGGCGGUACCCGCAGAAGAAGCACCGGCUAACUCCGUGCCAGCAGCCGCGGUAAUUC
rnacentral:rRNA from 1 species